rnacentral:tRNA from 1 species
GCAUUGAUGGUUCAGUGGUAGAAUUCUCACCUUCCACGAGGGAGACCCAGAUUUGAUUCCUUGUUAAUGCA